UUCCUUCCCCUUAUAAGAUCAUUUCCAUGUCUUUGUUGGUGAUCUCAGCCCAGAAAUUACAACUGAAGAUAUAAAAGCUGCUUUUGCACCAUUUGGAAGAAUAUCAGUGUCUCUGAAGAAUGGACAGAAUUGCCCUGGCUAACUACAAGCUACGGUUCACAGUGGAUAAAUAGAUGCCCGAGUGGUAAAAGACAUGGCAACAGGAAAGUCUAAGGGAUAUGGCUUUGUCUCCUUUUUCAACAAAUGGGAUGCUGAAAACGCCAUUCAACAGAUGGGUGGCCAGUGGCUUGGUGGAAGACAAAUCAGAACUAACUGGGCAACCCGAAAGCCUCCCGCUCCAAAGAGUACAUAUGAGUCAAAUACCAAACAGCUAUCAUAUGAUGAGGUUGUAAAUCAGUCUAGUCCAAGCAACUGUACUGUAUACUGUGGAGGUGUUACUUCUGGGCUAACAGAACAACUAAUGCGUCAGACUUUUUCACCCUUUGGACAAAUAAUGGAAAUUCGAGUCUUU
rnacentral:sRNA from 1 species